CAAGACAUUGGCACAGCUGUGUUUUAAAAGUAAAAGCGCGUUUCUUGAAUUGCUGGAAUGUGGUUCAUUGUUACAUUCUUUUGUUCUGCAUUGCCUGCUGCGUGCUGAAGGUUCUUGGUGCUCGGAGGCAUAUUGCCAUGGGCAUUUGUCCACUUGCUCUUGAGGUGACAACACACUGUUAACUGGUGUUAGUUACCACCAGACCACCAUUUUGUUCGAGUUUGGUGGUUUUAUUUUUCGUCACACACCGUGGACUUAUUGGGUUGUGUUGUAGUAAGACUGUUGGCCAGGCCCGGAGGCGGAUCGUUUCGCUCGGGAUACUUUCUUCUACUUGAUAUGACUACGCACUUUGGCUUUUUCGGCUUCACUGUUCGUAGACGUCAAUGUAAAACAGCGAUUAAGUGACGCAAGUUGAUGAGCCAACUUAGAAGACUGCCUUGUAAAUGUGAUACGGGAUGGACAAGUUGAGUUGCAACUGAAUUGAGACGAUAUAAGACAAGCUCAAGAUUCAGGCAGAAUGAUGCGGUGGUGAGUAUAAUUAAGAGUAAGACUUGGUAGAGUUUGUGUCGAAUUCUUUUGUAAACGUAGUAUUGGUGUGAUUACCAACCCGUAGUUUUCCACUCAGAUUACACCGGGUAAUGAGUGACGGCGUAUAAACUGAGUUUACAUUUCAUCCACAAGUGCAAAGUUAUGGAGCAAGAAAAGAAAAAGCGUAGGAGUUUACAACGAGAAAAAGGGAGAAAAAGCCGAACCUUUUCUUGUGGUGUUGUUUCGAAUUAGGUUCUUUCACACGUCGCACUUUUCGUUUAG